UACGUAGGGGGGCAAGCGUUGUCCGGAUUUAUUGGGCGUAAAGAGCGUGUAGGCGGCCUGGAAGGUCAGCUGUGAAAACUCGAGGCUCAACCUCGAGACGUCGGUUGAAACCACCUGGCUAGAGUCCGGAAGAGGAGUGUGGAAUUCCCGGUGUAGCGGUGAAAUGCGCAGAUAUCAGGAGGAACACCAAUGGCGAAGGCAGCUCGCUGGGACGGUACUGACGCUGAGACGCGAAAGCGUGGGGAGCAAACAGG
rnacentral:rRNA from 1 species